CCAGUUAUGGCUAAGGGCAAACUAGUGAAUCACUGCAGAAAUAUUUUAUUUAGAUCUGGUGAUACCCAAAAACAAGGAAAAGGGGCACAUGAAGAUGACGACGAAGACUCUUUUAGUAUUGUCCCGAAACAAAAAAAAAGAUAAUUUAGAAGGUACAUUUAAAGAAGAAAUUGCAUAGCUGCAACAUAAUACCGAGCCAUGGAAUAAAGUAAUGGAAUAUUGGACUGGAACCUGGGAAGUUCGAUCCACAUCAUGUGACAUGUCAUCCUCAGUGUCGCAAUACCUUGAAAAAUGACCAAACCAAACCAAUGUUUAUGCUGUACAUACUAAAAAUAAACUUUUAACAGAGAUAUUUUUGCCUUA